AGUCCUUUAGUUAAGUGGGAAAACGUUUGAUUUCAACGUCCAAAGGGUAUAAGGUUCGAGUCCUUUUGGUGGUA